AUUGCCCUAGUAACGGCGAGUGAAGCGGCAAAAGCUCAAAUUUGAAAUCCGUCAUUUGAUGGAGUUGUAAUUUGAAGAUAGUUUUUCUGGGAGUGGCCUUGCUCAAGUUCCUUGGAAUAGGACGUCAUGGAGGGUGAGAAUCCCGUGAUGCGAGGGUACCAUUUCUUUGUAGAGGACUAUCGACGAGUCGAGUUGUUUGGGAAUGCAGCUCAAAGUGGGUGGUAAAUUCCAUCUAAAGCUAAAUAUUGGCGAGAGACCGAUAGCGAACAAGUACUGUGAAGGAAAGAUGAAAAGAACUUUGAAAAGAGAGUGAAAUAGUACGUGAAAUUGUUGAAGUGGAAGGGUUUAAAGUUAGACAUGACAGUUUAUGCUCCACAAUCCUUUGGGGUUGUGUACUCGUUUACUGUCGGGCCAACAUCAGUUUCGGUGGAUGUACAAAAGCUUGGGAAUGUAGCAACUUGUUGUAUUAUAGCCCUUGCUAAUGCUUCCUACUGGGACUGAGGACCGCGCAUUUGCUAGGAUGUUGGCGUAAUGAUUUUAAAA
rnacentral:rRNA from 1 species